rnacentral:rRNA from 1 species
AUUGAACGCUGGCGGCAGGCCUAACACAUGCAAGUCGAGCGGAUGAAGGGAGCUUGCUCCUGGAUUCAGCGGCGGACGGGUGAGUAAUGCCUAGGAAUCUGCCUGGUAGUGGGGGAUAGCGUCCGGAAACGGGCGCUAAUACCGCAUACGUCCUGAGGGAGAAAGUGGGGGAUCUUCGGACCUCACGCUAUCAGAUGAGCCUAGGUCGGAUUAGCUAGUUGGUGGGGUAAAGGCCUACCAAGGCGACGAUCCGUAACUGGUCUGAGAGGAUGAUCAGUCACACUGUAACUGAGACACGGGCCAGAGUCCUACGGGAGACAGAGGUGUGGAAUAUAGUACACUGUGCGAAAGCCUGAGCCAGCCAUGCCGCGUGUGUGAAGAAGGUCUUCGGAUUGUAAAGCACUUUAAGUUGGGAGGAAGGGCAGUAAGUUAAUACCUUGCUGUUUUGACGUUACCAACAGAAUAAGCACCGGCUAACUUCGUG